ensembl:lncRNA CASC19 cancer susceptibility 19
GGUAACUACAUGCAUGUAAUGAUGAGAAUAUUUAUAUGUAUUUAUGAUUAUCACAAAAAAACAAAGAUUCUACCAUUCAAGAGGAACAUUUAUUUUAUUUUUUUAUUUGAGAAAAGUAUAAUUUUAUUUAUUUAUUUAUUUGUGCAAAUUUAUGGGGUACUUGAGAAAAUGUGUUACAUGUAUAUAAUGUGUAGUGAUCCAAUCAGGAUACUAAGGGUGUCCAUCACCUGAGUGUAUUACAUUUUUGUUAAGUAUAAUCAUCCUACUCCAGGAGAACAUUUUAAAAACUGUUCUGUAGAGAUACUACUCAAAUUAAGUUCUCAGUCCUGAAACAUCAGAUCAGCUAGGAAUCUGACAAAAAUGCAAGUUCUCAGAUGACAGAUGAGACCACUUCAAUCAGAAUUUCUGGAGUGGAGCCCACACAUUUGUAUUUUUGCAACCUUUCCAAUGAUACUUAUGUACAUGCUCAAGCUUGAAAACCACUUUCCUAGGACAUUAGUUCCUCGACAAGAUUUGUGAGUAACCUUGUUUCAUGAAAAAGUGUUUAGGAGAUACUGAUUCAAUAAAAACUAAUCAGGCUUUUAUUGUUUGCAGGGCUUUCAAAACUUGCAAUAGGCCACUGUGCAUUGUUAAUUUCUAAGAGGAAGAUGCUUAUGUCCUCAAUGAAUAUCUUCCCACCAUGAAGUACUCUUCUUCCCCCACUUUUUAAAACAAUUACUAACACCUGGCAGAAGUAGGCAGACAGCUUACAGCUUAGAAAAAGUUGGCCUAAGAUAAUGGCUAAUUUUCAUACAUUAUUUAUUUGUCAUCAUGCUUAUCUUUCUCUCUCUAAAUUGUAUAUUUCAUCUCUGUGAUCACAGAUUGAGCCUCAUAUUUCAUAUCUGCCCCUGGCCUAAUGGUUGUUUACAGAAUGAGCUCAAUGAAUAUUGUUAAAUAACACUAACAAAGUUGACCUUAGAAUUGGAGUGCCUGGGUUAGAACCCUGCUGGUACCACCUGCUUACUGCAUGCUUCUGAUGUGAGUUCAGGAGAAGACACUGGCAAGGACAGCAAAGAACAGGAGAACACUCUAGCUUCCCUGAUAGCAUUCAAGGUGCUGUCCAAACUGACUGUGAUGGCACCCUCCAGACAGACAGCGAUGCCACAUGUUCAAGAUGGCAGAAUCACUAUCAGCUUCAAUUCCUGAAUGACUGCAGAGCAAAAUUUCUUACCUGCAACAUACACUCUAUUUUCAGCCUCCCUGGACUGUUACAUAAUGAUACAUAAAAAUAUUUCUUGUGUUGAGGCAUCCCAAAUUUGAUUUAUUUGUCAUCACAGUCUAUCCUAUGAAUAUAUUUCUGAUCCAAAUAAUGCUAGAUUCAUGAGAGUUUAUAGUCCAGAGAUUUUUUUUUUUUUUUUGAGACAGAAUCUGUCUCCCAGGCUGGGGUGCAGUGGCAUAAUCUUAGCUCACUGCAACCUCUGCCUCCCGGGCUCAAGUGAUCCUCCCUCCUUAGCCUCCAUGAGUAGCUGGGACCACAGGUGUGCACCACCACACCCCGCUAAUUAUUUUGUAUUUUUUGCAGAGGGGGGUUUCACCACAUUGCCCAAGCUGGUCUCAAACUCCUAGACUUAAGGGAUCUGCCUGCCUUGGCCUCCCAAAAUGCUGAAAUUACACUUGUUAGCCAUAGUAAUAGUUCCUAGCCAUAGUCCGGAGAUAUUUUAAAAACUUUAGUGUGAGUUAUUUCUCUUUGCUAUAAUUCUCUCAUGCAUUUUGAAAACCUUUUCUGCCAUACAGUGGUUUUUGGGAAGUCCUUUUGGACAGACAUAUCACAGGAUGGAGAAACUAAAAAGAGAGAAUGCAUUAAAGAAAAAAUAGUACUUCGUAUUUCAGAAAUUACAAAAGGGUGUCAUGCCCCACAGCAUGGUGGGCAGUCAUUUGUAACCCACAGAACAUUGAGUUUCUAAAAUUUGAGUGUUUUUAACUUACGAAGGCCAACUUUACUGAUGAAGUGAUUACCCCAAAUAUGUGAAAUCCAUAUUUCAAGUACAAUAGUAGGAAAUUGGAAAUGGGUAGGUAUAUUUCUGACUGUCAAAGAGUACAAAGUAAAGAGGGGCCCCUGAAGAGUGACACUACUG